rnacentral:rRNA from 1 species
UGAGGAAUAUUGGUCAAUGGGAGAGAUCCUGAACCAGCCAAGCCGCGUGAGGGAAGACGGCCCUAUGGGUUGUAAACCUCUUUUGUCGGAGAACAAAACCCGGGACGUGUCCCGGACUGCGUGUAUCCGAAGAAAAAGCAUCGGCUAACUCCGUGCCAGCAGCCGCGGUAAUACGGAGGAUGCGAGCGUUAUCCGGAUUUAUUGGGUUUAAAGGGUGCGUAGGCGGUUCGUUAAGUCAGCGGUAAAAUUGCGGGGCUCAACCCCGUCGAGCCGUUGAAACUGGCAGACUUGAGUUGGCGAGAAGUACGCGGAAUGCGCGGUGUAGCGGUGAAAUGCAUAGAUAUCGCGCAGAACUCCGAUUGCGAAGGCAGCGUACCGGCGCCAGACUGACGCUGAGGCACGAAAGCGUGGGGAUCGAACA